rnacentral:rRNA from 1 species
GUGCCAGCAGCCGCGGUAAUACGGAGGAUGCAAGCGUUAUCCGGAUUCAUUGGGUUUAAAGGGUGCGCAGGCGGGCUUGUAAGUCAGUGGUGAAAUAUUGUCGCUUAACGAUAAGGUUGCCAUUGAUACUGCAGGUCUUGAGUUUGGUUGAGGUAGGCGGAAUGUGCAGUGUAUCGGUGAAAUGCAUAGAGAUUGCACAGAACACCGAUUGCGAAGGCAGCUUACUAAGCCAAAACUGACGCUGAGGCACGAAAGCGUGGGGAGCGAACAGGAUUAGAUACCCUGGUAGUCCACGCCGUAAACGAUGUUCACUCGCUGUUUGCGAUAUACAGCAAGCGGCUU